AUUCCAGCUCCAAUAGCGUAUAUUAAAGUUGUUGUGGUUAAAAAGCUCGUAGUUGGAUCUCGGCGGUCUGAGGGCGGUUCGCUUCAGAGCGCUACUGCCCUAUAGACCGUAGUUUUGCCAGAGGUCUCAGGGUGCUCUUAACCGAGUGUCUUGCGAUGCUGGCAGGUUUACUUUGAAAAAAUUAGAGUGCUCAAAGCAGGCUUUUACGCCUGAAUAUUCGUGCAUGGAAUAAUAGAAUAGGAAGUCGUUUCUAUUUUGUUGGUUUUCGGAAAUCGACUUAAUGAUUAAUAGGGACAGUCGGGGGCAUUUGUAUUCAAACGACAGAGGUGAAAUUCUUGGACCGUUUGAAGACAAACUACUGCGAAAGCAUUUGCCAAGAAUGUUUUCAUUG
rnacentral:rRNA from 1 species